rnacentral:rRNA from 1 species
AGCGAACGCUGGCGGCAGGCCUAACACAUGCAAGUCGAGCGCCGUAGCAAUACGGAGCGGCAGACGGGAGAGUAACACGUGGGAACGUACCCCUCAGUACGGAACAACCAAGGGAAACUUUGGCUAAUACCGUAUACGUCCGUAAGGAGAAAGAUUUAUCGCUGAAGGAUCGGCCCGCGUCUGAUUAGCUAGUUGGUGAGGUAACGGCUCACCAAGGCGACGAUCAGUAGCUGGUCUGAGAGGAUGAUCAGCCUCACUGGGACUGAGACACGGCCCAGACUCCUACGGGAGGCAGCAGUGGGGAAUAUUGGACAAUGGGCGCAAGCUUGAUCCAGCCAUGCCGCGUGGGGGAUGAAGGCCCUAGGGUUGUAAAGCCCUUUCGGCGGGGAAGAUAAUGACGGUACCCGCAGAAGAAGCCCCGGCUAACUUCGUGCCAGCCGCCGCGGUAAUAC